GAAAAAUGGACAAUUUGCUUUUGUCUUAAAGCUUGCUUGAAAAUACUAGUUUUGCCCAAGGCUGACCUGUGUUUAUUUUUACAAGCUAUUGUGUAUGAGGUUUUACUGGACAGUUAUUUUGUUUUCAAAUCUUAAGCCUAUGCAUUAGAAGCACUGAAUAGUAGGAACUGAUUCAUUUUAGACAAAAAAAAAAAAUCCAGAAGCAUGAACUAUUUCAUCAUUGUCACCCUUGAUGGGCCUGGAAGUUAGAACUUUGCUAGAGCCCCUUCGUGAUAAAUGCUGAUUAUCAUCUGAGGAAACUAUUUAAUAUCAACAUAAGAUAUACAACCUAUUAUAAGGAGGGGAGGUCGUCUUUUCCAGCAUUCUGUCUUGGAACUAUCAUAUGCUUUCCUGGUUGUUUAAAAGAUAUGGAAAGAAAUUUGUUCUUAUCAGGAAAUUGUCAUAAUUUCAGUGACUGAUCUAUACAUCCCCCUUCUUUCACUAUUUUACACAAUCCACAUUAAAAGAUCAUCUCUGAAAUACUGAACAUCUCUGUGGAGAGCUUAAUUACUGCUUCUGGAUCACUGGAAUUCUUAUAAAUAAGUUCACCUACUGAAGCAAUGAGUAUCUUUUUAGCUUAGGACUCUCUGCUACCAAAAAAUGGUUUCUUUCAUCUUAUGACAAACUGAGCUGUUCUUAUCAGUAGCUGUUUGCCAACAGCUAUGGGAGGUGGCACAAAUAGUUGAAGAACACAGCAAUAUUGAUUGCAAAAGCAAAGUGCGUCCCAAAGUUUUCACAACCUUCUUUUUUAUUCCAACCUACAUAACUGGGAAGCGAAGUUUCAUACUCACAGAGGGUUCAAAGCUUGAAGCUGACCACUGCAAAGGCCACUUGUCACAUUUACUGAAAAUCAGCCUAUUGAUAUCACAGCUGAAAAUAUAAACUCGACAACCAAAGCCCAUUGCACAACGUGGACUGCGUAAGAGUUAAAAAUAGAUUUGACGUGCCUCCUACCUGCAUAAUAAAUAUUCCAUCAAAAUCCUGAGCAGUAUUGACAAACCACACGAGCACAGGGUCUGACUGCAUGAUCAGCUGUCUGUGUCUACGCUACACCCUGUUAACCACAAGCAGUGUUAGAGCUAAAUAUAUCUGCA